UUUUUUUUUGAGGCUGAGAGGAACCCACACAGAUUAUGUAAUAUACUUUGUGAUCAAUUAUAAACUUACAGCAUUUCUGAAAUGUUUUUUUUUCUUUAUCUUGAAUCAAGGAUCUGAAUCUGAUUGGAACACCGAGCUUUCCCAACAGCCAUGGUCAUCAUUGCACACCUGCAGUUGAAAUGCUGUUAUAACACACGUUUUACUAAUGUUCUUGCAGCUAUAUAUAUAGUGUUAUUUCUAGACAAACUGUGUAGAGUUUAUGGUUUACAGACUUGGUUGCACUGGUUCUGUUGUUUUGGGGUUUUUCUUCAAAGCUCUCACAAUGAUUCUGCUGUUGUUUUCAUUGACUGAACUGUUUCAUGUCUGGUUGUUACUACGCUUGUGAUUUCUUUCUUUUUCAGGACAUUCCAAAUUGUCGUAUUGACUUUUUUCCCUAUUUUUAGGAACUAAGUUUUACGAUGAGCUUGAAAAGGACUAAGUAUAAACUGUAACUCGUGGGCGUUUAAGCUAAUGUCGUCGUGAGAGACGGACAGCUGUAACCGCCAGCCGCAGUUUUCACCGUGGAACUGAAGGGACGAGGACUGUGGAGAACUGUGCUGAGUAGCACGGUCACUACGCCUGUGUAAGGAGGGACUCUACCGCCGAACCUGCAUCUCUGAAUCGACUCUUACCUGCUGGACCCUCGCCUGCAGCGGAUUCAUUCACUCACUCAGCUCGUUGUUUCCAGUUCAGCUGAUUUUCCUCUUCGAUAUGUGACACAGAUGUUCAAGACAUUUCUAAAAAAUAUUUGGCCCAAGAAAUUGAACUGAGGAAAGCAGACCAGACUGAAAAUGAGAAAACUGGAGAUGGAAAUUAAGCAAAUGGAGAAAGAAAGAAGCUGAAUAAGAUGACCCGGAAAAAAUGUGUUUAACCGUACACUAAAAUUAAAUUGUCCAGAGUCACAUGGCCCUCCCUACUCCACCUUCAAUUAAGCUCUUAUUGUAUCUUCUCACUGGUCUACCUACAAUCUUAGCAUACCUUCCUGAUGUAGUACAUUCACAUUGUGCAAAACUCCCUCCACAAGCCACUACAAUAUCAAGUCCAUUGUGGAAUGAUUCAGAGAUGGUUUAGACAUAAAUCUGGACUUUAGCUGUCCAAACGUAAUUGACAUACACUUUUGAAGUAGUAGAAAAGGACUUUAUAAGGAAUUCGAAUAAUACAUAGUUGGGCUGCAACAGUAACUACAGUACAUCAUUUACUGCUCUAAAUAUCAGUAUCUGAAUGGGAUUCUGGCACCUUCAGUAACUUGGAGAGGGUAAAAAUUUGUGUUUUCUGCUUGUACUGAGGUGUUAUAGAAACACCAAUAGUGUUUCAUUGAUUCAUGGACGUAUCAGAUUUGUGUAUAUUUGGGGCAAUGGUGGCAAAAUCUUGUUCCAGCUUGGAUAAACUCUGCAAGACCUCAGGAUUCAGUGGAGCUGUGUUUCAUUUCUGGUAUGUUUCUACGAACAGCUUUCCAGCUUCACCUUCUCGUCUCCUGUUAAACAAUAUUAUUUGCGCUAGAACACUUUCUGAAAGAUUUCUCCAUGCCACAGGAUCUGAGCUCUUGGUUAAUUGUUCUUUUGACUGAUCUUCCAAAAUUUUGAGGUGUUUGUGCAACCUGACAUCAUCUUCAGUCGGUGGAAGAACAUCAGCUUUGUUCCAUUUGUUUUGUUCAAGGUUGGUACUAGCUCGUUUUGAAACAAAUGUGUUCCAGUCAGAGUGAAGCAACCUGAUGAAAUUCUUGGCCUUCUGUCCUGCCUCACGGUCUUCCUUGAUCAGACUCUCGCCUAUCACAAUUUCACAGACUUUCUUGAGGGUGUCCCCAAUUUUACAAGCUAAAGAUGGGGUGUCUCAUCUGUUUUUUAUGGAUCAAACCCACUUGCUUCCAUUGCUGCCGAUACUGCUAGCUGAAAUCUUGUUGGCACACAAAACAUCCACUAGACGUUGUACAGCAGGGUUAAGCUUCUUUACUGCCAGCAUAAACCUCCCCAACUCCCGCAUUUUCUGACUGAUGUAAUUGUGCUGCGAUUUGUCCUGUCCAUGGAGCUCAAACAUCAUUUCUUCAUAUUUAUAGAUGAGAGUGUCUGACUUCACCUGAUUAGAGAGGUCAUCUUGAUGCAUGCUCAGAAUGAUGCAUUUACACCCUUCAGACACGGCAGGUUUACAUGGUGUACUUCGAGGUGCUACAGCUUGGACUCUCUUCGGUUUCCUUGAAAUGUUGUCUUUUUCAAAAAUGCAGAAAAGACUAGGUUAUGCUUUUCACAAUUCCUUUCUUUUAAAAAACCCAUCGCAAUACUAUCAUAGCAGAUAGUCUUGAUUUCGGUACUAUAGUGGAAAUUCCCUUUAUUUCGUAGUUGUCCAAGUAAUCUGUCAUGCCUUUGUCCCCUUAGUUUUUGAUAAUGCUUGUUCUACUUCAGUUUCUUUUGCAUAUUUUCUCUCGAGAUGUCUUCCCAGUUUGCUUUUCUCUGUACCACAGUAUACAAAAAAGUUUUUCUUAUCUCACUCUCUCUUCCCUCCUUCUUUUUUUGUGCACUUUUUAACAUUCACUUUUACAUUGUCUGACCUACCAUCUUCAUUUAUGGACUUUUGGGCUUUUUCUUAGUCUUUUGCUUCACAAGUGCUGUCAGAGUCCAUAUAGAUGGCAUCAGAGUCAGAACUUCCACUGGAUGAAACAUAUUCACUACCACUUGUGUGUCCUGAUGACAGAUCAGUGCUCCCAAUUUCAACAAUUUCUUCAAUCCUUAAUUCCUGUAAAAUCAAAAGUUUGAAUAUAAU
ensembl:lncRNA